GCCGCAGUGCUGAAAUUGGUAUACAGGCACGCUUCAGGAGCGUGUGCUCGCAAGAGCGUGGAGGUUCAAGUCCUCUCUGCGGCA
rnacentral:tRNA from 1 species